rnacentral:rRNA from 1 species
AUUGAACGCUGGCGGCAGGCCUAACACAUGCAAGUCGAGCGGUAGCACAGAGAGCUUGCUCUCGGGUGACGAGCGGCGGACGGGUGAGUAAUGUCUGGGAAACUGCCUGAUGGAGGGGGAUAACUACUGGAAACGGUAGCUAAUACCGCAUAAUGUCGCAAGACCAAAGUGGGGGACCUUCGGGCCUCAUGCCAUCAGAUGUGCCCAGAUGGGAUUAGCUAGUAGGUGGGGUAACGGCUCACCUAGGCGACGAUCCCUAGCUGGUCUGAGAGGAUGACCAGCCACACUGGAACUGAGACACGGUCCAGACUCCUACGGGAGGCAGCAGUGGGGAAUAUUGCACAAUGGGCGCAAGCCUGAUGCAGCCAUGCCGCGUGUAUGAAGAAGGCCUUCGGGUUGUAAAGUACUUUCAGCGGGGAGGAAGGCGAUAAGGUUAAUAACCUUGUCGAUUGACGUUACCCGCAGAAGAAGCACCGGCUAGCUCCGUGCCAGCAGCCGCAGUAA